CUUCCGACAUUCAGCAUUACCGUAGUCGUCGUUACAGUUGUCUUUUCAGUAACAGCAAGAACACAAACAACAAGACAACCAAAUAAUAAUAAUAAUAAUAAUAAUAAUAAUAAUAAUAAUAAUAAUAAUAAUAAUAAUAAUGAUGAUUAUGAUGCUCUUCGAUAUUGGUAUUAAGUAAGGAAAAGAAGCCCUUACCAAACCGAAACGACAGUUAAGACGACAUUAACGAGAAUAACCAGAGCAAUAAAAAGAAAACCACAAAAAAAAUCAACCAAACAAACAAACAAACAAACAAGGAAGGAGUUAUAUUUUGCAGGAAAUCGUUCACUUUUAAGAAGAACCUUUCUCUUUCUUCUGGUCAUACCAAGAGCUGAAGAGCACGUACACAUACACACGCACAUACGCACACACAUGUACACAGACACACACGUUAACACACAGACACACACGUUAACACACAGACACAGACACAUACGCACACACACAGACACACAGACACACACACACAUCCAAAAGCAAAAAUGAAUAUACAUUAGCAAAUGCACAAUCUCUUAAUUAGCAUACACAUAUUGCAAACAACAUAAGUAGACAUAUUCUCACAUACACAUAUAUACAAUAAGCAUUAACACAAAUAUACAUACAAUCCACCACACAAAUACAACACUCUUGCAUACACGCAUAUUCUCUCUGUGUGUCUGUGUCUUUCUCUUUCAUUCGGUCUCACAAUCUCAUUGUUCUUGUUCUCUCCCCUUCUCUCAGUCCCUCGCUCGCUCACUCACACACUCACUCACUCACUCACUCACUUACUUACUCACUCACUCACUCACUCACUCACUCACUCAGUCUCUCUCUCUUUUCUCUCUCUCUCCUGCUCUUUCGUACACAAAUACACACACGAAAAACACGUAGGGACAUGGACAGAGAUAUAUAUUCAUAAACACAUGUAAAUAGAUGCACACGCACUCACAAAAACGUUAAUAUAGAUAUACACACAAACACACACGCACACAGAAAGCAUAUACUCAUCUAUCUAUCUAUCUAUCUAUCUAUCUGUCUGUCUCUCUCUGUCUGUCUGUCUCUCUUUGUGUAUAUAUAUACGUGCAUUCACAAACAUAUAUAUAUAUAUAUAUAUACAUACAUAUACAUACAUAUAUCUACAUACACACACACAUAUAUAUAUAUACACCCAUACAUGUAUGUAUAUAUGGAUCUUUUCCCACAAACACACAUUCAGUUUACAGAUAUCAAUUGAUGACCCAGACGUAACCGCGUUGUCAGUAACACAUAUGUGUGAGCAUCAGUUCGGGAAAAGCUUGGCCGAACGGGCUGCCGUGUGUUCCAGCGUGGUCAACACGACCGCUUUAAUAGCAAGAAGAAUUGCUUAACAGUAUCUUUACCUCAUACUGACACCACUGUACAACCACAGCUGGUUUUUCUCUUAUAUCGCCCCUCGACAUCCCUCCCCUUUGAGAACCUAGCUUGUAAAAACCUCUUUGGUUUUUCACGUACAUUUUUGCAAGUCGUCUGCCAACACCAGUCUACGAAUGACCUGGAAUCAGGACCCCGACAAGACGGCACAGAAAAUGGUGAAGGUGGUUGAGACGGGUGUAUUCGUCCUCUCUGGCCUUCACUUCUUUGUUGGACUGGUCAGUGUGUGUGUCGGAGUAGUGUCCAGUAUUAAGGCCGAAGUAUGGUUAGCACACAGCGUAUCACCAAUAUGGAGCGGUGGAUUUUUCAUUAUCACAGGCAUAUUAGGUGUGUGUUCCACACGAAGGAAAUCCCCAUACUUGAUCAUGUGCUUCAUUGCCAUUUCCGUGGUUUCUUUGGUGACUGCUGUUGUCAGCAUCCAAUUGCUACGUCUUGGACUGGUCAGUCAUACAACGGAUGGACAUACUUUCCAAAAAGAAAAGAAGGAUAUUCUGAUUCUGAUAGCUCUUGGUGGAGCCGGAUUCGAGGGUUUAGUUUGCUUAUUGUGUAUCUUGUUUGGUUGUAAGUUGUCCAAGGUAACCAAAGAAGAACUGUCUAAAAAACGGGAAGGAAUGUUUCACGUGAAAGUUCUAGGACAAAAAGAUAUUGUGGUGGUGUCUCAAACGAAGACUGAGGCCUAUAAUAACACAACAGCCUUGUGAUGUUAAAAUGAUCCUAAAUUGAAAAAGGAAAAAAAUAUUAAAAAAAAAAAAGAUUAAAAUAAACUUAGUUUCAGAAAAUAAAAAUGUGACACAGACUAUUGCCAGAACUAUGAAUGCUAGCUCAAGCAAAAUAAUAAAAAUGCAAAGCAUUUUAGCUCCUGCUGCUACAAUCCAGCUCGCUAAAAAUCAUUUCCAAGAAUAGCUGCAAACUGAAUGCUGUAACUUUCCUGCACAUAUACUUUCCUGCAUCCUCUUCAGGUGUAAGUGUUGUAAAUUAAGUCACAUUCAUGCCAUGGAAACCUGGGUAAACCUUGGCUUUUACAUUCCUAGAACUCACGACAGACCAAACUCUAAGUCUUAUUUAAGUACUAAUUAAUAUAUAUUCUUACACACACACACACACACUGACACAUACACACACAAUAUAUAUGUAUGCAGUCAUAAUACAUAAUACACAUAUAUGUAUGCAUAUAUAUACUGUCAUCUAUACUUAUGA